rnacentral:lncRNA from 1 species
UGGACAAAGCACUUGGCAUAGUGAUCUAACAUAAUAUCAAUGUUUACAACAAAGAGGAUAUAAUUCAAGAUGCAAAAUAUGAAGUUCAACCAAUAAAGCAUACUUCGGUUAGAAGCUCCCACGCCCAGCUGAUGGCUUCUACUUUAAAGUAAUUCCCGAACGACCAAUUUCCCAACAUCUCAAAGAAGGUGUGAUGGUAGGUGUCCUUCCCUACAUCAUCAAGAUCAUUGUGUUUACCACCCGCUCGAAUGCACUUUUGUGUGUUGCAAGCACGAGACAGUUUACUCAAGGCAGUGUUGGGAUCCGCGGUACCCAAAAAAAUUGGCUUGAACUGGUUCAUACCUAUCAUCACAUCACAAAUAAACCUUAACACCAUAAAUUUUUCCCGCGAAUCAAAUAACGCAGUGUUAUUAACUUACUAUUAUGGCCAAUAUAUCUAUCAACAAACAUGUCUUCACUACAAAAACCUUUUUAACACCUACCAUAUCCCUCUCCUUCUCUUCUCUCACAAUGAAAAAUGUUAACAAGCAUCACUUCAUAUUUCAAGUCAAAACCUUUAACGCCUCCACGACCAUUCCCAAUUUCAAAUAUAGUAUGGCACAAGUUGACUUGAAGAAAAAUCCAUACACAUAAUCACUCAUCGCAAAACAUACCAGCGUUGGCGAAGAGAAGAGUGGGGUCAUUGAAGGGAACGACGGGGCUGGACUUCCAGUUGACGUGAUUCUUGCCUUCGAAGAAACCCAUGAAAGUGUCCCUCACGCGCUUCGCCGGCCACUCCACAUGCUGAGUCUCAGCUCCAGGCAUGGCUGCGACGGGAGACGACGGCGAAUGAAGAGAUCUAGCGGCGCGAAAGGGGAGUGACAGUGGUAGUAGCGGCGGCGGAACAGGGUUACAGUUUCGAAAGGAAAUGAGCAAAGCUCUUACACCAAAUCCUCUUUUCAUUCACUCAUCUAUUAGUGUCUUGGUUUUUUUAACGCUAACAUUUGGAACAGACGAAUAAGUCCACUUCUCCAAAUAUUAUGUAAUAACUAUUUUUUUAAUGAAACUACUAUUGGGCCUUUUUGUUUGGUCAACUACUCACAUUACAGACCCAAUUUUGCCGGCCGGCCCAAGUUUUUUGAGACGAUAAUUUGUUUAUGGGGGUUACUCCAUGUACCUCCCCAAUUCUAACCCCCACCCCCCAUUCCAUUUUUAAGAUUUGUUUUAUUAGUUUACUUUUUAUAUUAAUUUUCAGAUAUUUUAAUAAUGGAAUUUAUAUGUUUUGAUGUAUUAUUUUUAAAUAUAUUUUUAACGUAUAAAUGGNAGAGUGAGAGUUGCAGAGAGUGUUUGGAGGAGGAGUGUUUCAAAAGCUUUGGUGGGGGUGGGGGUGGGAAUACGAAGAAGAGGAAUUUGAGUCUGUGUGUUUUGACUGAGACAGACUGUAAAAAGAGUAGGUUAACUUUAGUAAAUAGGUGUAAAACGGUAAAAAUAAAAAAAACAUAAAGAUUAAUUUUGUAUUUAAAAAAAAAUCCAAAAAAAUUGGGGGGGUGGAGGUUGGAAUUGGGGAGGUACAGGGAGUAACUCCCUUUGUUUAUUCUCCGACUAGUGAAGAUUUUUGGAGUUUAAUUAAUGCAAAAAUAUUCCGUCUUAAAAAUGUGAAUAUAUUGACGUUACUUUCCCUCUUUUUAUAAUUAUACCGUUAUAUUAAACAGUGAAUUAUCAGUUAGAGUAAAUCAAACAGUUUUUUUCUUUAUAUUUAAAUAAUUUUAUUUAUUUUUAAAUAUUUUUAAUUGCUUUUUCACAUAACAAUAUUUUUAUUUGUUUUUUUACAUAAAAGUAUUUUAUUUCUAUUUUCAAAUAUUGAAUUUUAUAACCUAUGUAAUAAAAAAAUGUCUUUUCUCUUUUUUUAUUAUUUUUAAUUUUUGUUUCAUUUGAAUCACUUUUAUUUUUUUAAAACAAUUUUUAUUAUUUUUCAACUCUUAAACUAACUUUAUAUUAGCUUUUUUAGAUUUUAAGUCGAUUUAUUUAAUCGUCAAUUAUAUUUUUUUUUUAUUUGAUUGAGUAAUAUAUCAAAUUAUUUCUAAGAGAGAUAUUUCAUUAUUUUUAUUUUUGUUUUAUAUUUGUAUGUGUUAUUUAUUUGUAUAUUGUGAAAUAAUGUUGUGACAACUUUUAAUGAGACUACUCUUAUUUUCCAAUUAAUUGUCAUAAGUGUAAUUUCAUCAUUAUAAUUAUAUACAUAUAUUUUAUUAUCAUCUAAUGAAGUUAAAAAAAAUAAAAGACAUGUGUAAUUUAAAUUAUUAUUAUUUUAAUCCUUGUUUUUCUUGUAGAACAUGAUUUAACUUAUAUGUUAUAAUUUUUAUAAGUGCAUAAAAAAUAUUUUAUUAUAAUUUAGACAAAUAAAAUAAAAAGACAUUUAAAAUAGUUUUAAACUUGGUAUACUAAUUCUUUUAUAAUUCUUUAGACAUGUUUUUAAAUUUGAUCUAUCACAAAUUCAAUCAUAUUAGAUUAAAAAAAUUAUAAAUUGUAAAUUUUAGUACGGGUGAAAAAUAAACCUAAUCCACUGAAAACUUGACUCACUCAAAGAAAAAAAAAAAAUACCUCACUUUUAAUUUAAUAAUCCAACCAAAGCCACAAACAAACCUUUCAAUUUUGGGGUAAAACUUUGAUAAUAUUUAGAUUUUAUAUAGAAUUAUGAUUUAGUUAUUUGGUGAAUCAUUUGUGUAGUGUCUAAAAUGGAAAAAAAAAACAAUUUUUUAAAAAUAAAUUUAAACUUUUUUGGAUUUUCCCAUCAACCUCUAAUAGUUCGUGCCAAACUCAAAAUUUUUUAGAUAGCUAAUAAAUGAAAAUAGGAUUCACUUACUAAAUUAUCAAUCCAUAAUAGGUUGGGUCCGAUAGGCCAUUCUGAUAACUUUAAACAGGUGUGGGUAUAUUAGUUGUUUGGUGGGAUCAAAAUUAAAUGAAAAUAUCAUUCACGAUGGGCAUGAAAUUGGAUAGAUGAUGAAUGUUUUAUUUAUGAAUGAAUAUUGAAUAAUGAAACUCAGUAUUCGGUAGUCGUGAUGUCAUCCCUCCUACACCCUACAUACAUAUACACAUGAUGUCAUCCCUCCUACAUACAUAUACACAACGACACACCCCCAUAUACACACACAUACAUCACACAUCACUCGUAUACAGCAUAUACACAGAUAAACUGCAAUACAACAUUAACUCAACCUCAUUGAUGCAAAUUUCUCUGCAAGAUCUAUAGCCUCGUUAACGUGUGCUGCAUCUGUACCCUGAAAAAAAGAUAAGGGUACACAUAUAGUAAAUAUCAAAAGAUAAGGGUACACAUAUCAGUAAAUAUCAAAAGAUAAGGGUACACAUAUAAGUAAAUAUCAAAAGAUAAGGGUACACAUAUAAGUAAAUAUCAAAUGGAACGCACAAUGCAUAUGAGAAAUUCUCCUAAUUGACGAACAUCUGUCUUCACUUGUGAAAAAUAUUCCAAGUAGUGAUGGUUGUCGGCAUACAAAAUUCAAAGUGACCAAACUCUAUUUGGACAAGAGGAUUUCAAACUAUAUAAAAUUAUAAGAUGACUCCAUAAAUAAGUCAGGUAGCUCCGAAACCAUAACCUAGUUUUAAAAUAGUGAGACUGGCACUUGAAUUUUCAAAAAACUAGUUUUACUUUGGCCAGAGUUUAAGUUCAAAUAAAAUCCAACAAAAAGUUCCAUUAUUUUUCUCUAUCCCUCUUCUCCAAAUAAGUUUUAGAAAAGAGAAAUUUAUCUCAAAAACAAAACUAUAACUAAUAUUACAUCAAAUCAAUUACAAAAAGAAAUGGAACAAUUAAGUAAGAGUGGAAGACCCUGAAAGCAGCGUCUGAAUCCGAUGGCAAAAGAGGGAAACGACUUCAUUGAAGUAAACAACGUCGUCGAUGGCACAGGAGAGGCAGAGGAAGAGCACGCAGCACCAGAGGAAGAUGUCAAUGACAUGGAAGAAAAGAAUGAGUAUACUUUCAGGUUCAAAAAUGAAUGAAUACUUUGGACUUUGUCGAUUCUGGCCUUCUACCCUACGAGCGAUUCGAGGGUCUUGAACAGGAAGCUUUUUGCGAUAAAAGAACGAAAAGUAACUGCCAUGUAGGUUACAUUAAAAGGGUCAUGUAGGUUACAUUAAAAUUUAAAACAGAAGGUAGUCAUAUAACUUGCAACUGAGUGCUUACAUUUUCACAUUUUCAUGUACAUUUGUUCUAGGUUAUGGAUAUUAUAUGUAUAAAAAAUAAAGAAUCGUAAGCAUACAAAGAAAAUGGUAAACAAUUAAACUAGUGAUAAGCUAUCAUGUAGAACAGAAAAUUCAGGGAAAAAAGAGGGGGAAAUUGUAAGAAUGAAACUAAUGUAACCUGCAUAUAAAAAAUGGAAACAGCUAUGAGCAAAAAAAAUGCAACAGGCAUAACCACAUAUCUUAAAUUUUCUUCCAAAAUCAUAACACCAAACGUAUUCCUCUAAUAUCCACUCUAUUGUUGGAGAUCAAAACUUGUAAUCUACCCUGUAAUAUAAAAGAAUUAAAGGAAAGUUAUCAACUUCUUUCUGGUGUAGCCUUUGCUUAUGACUGGCAAACUGCUAAAAAUGCAUCAGGAGACUAACAAAAAAUAACGGUAGGCAAUCAACUUCUUUCAUGAUAGCCUUUGCUUACGUAGAAAAAUAAAUAAAAGAAAAGAAAUAAAAUAUUUUUUGCAAUGUGACACAAUGAUGAACUACCAAUUUAUCUUUCAAAGCUUACUUGUUUAUAGAGAAAACCAGACAAACUGCAAACAUAAUAUAUUAUGCACUGCAUGGCAUACCUUUCUUGAUCUCUUGCGCACACCAUGAUAAUCUAUUGCUUCCAUUAUCUCAGCUAUCUUUGACCCGAAAUAUUACUUUCCCUAGCCAUCUUAGAAGGGGCUCUUCACUGCAUUUAGUGAUAUAAAAUAGCAUGAAUCAAACAAACAUGAAAAAAGUAAGUAAGCGCAGUGAGUUAUUUUAUCAUUUGAUACAUUUAGAAUUUGUUCAACCCUUUUAGCACCUGAACUCAAUCAAGAAUUAUCAGUAGCUCAUCUCAUUGAACAAGGGAUUCAAGGAUUUUCUUUUUUUUUAUUUUAAUUUUUAACCUCCCGUACUUUUUCUCUAAUUUCUUGAAUCUAUAAGAUUUUCCUUUGCUGUCAAUAAAAAUUAAGUUUCACAACUAAUAUAUUCCAAUCUCUAUUCAACAUGUACGAAAUUGUGGCAUUUUCGGUUGCACAUGCACAGCUCUGAAUCAAUAUAUUGACAGUACAAAGUUGCAUCGACUCCUAGAGCACAAAUUCUAAGUAUAAACCGUACGCAACGAUAACAAAAAAACAGGAAUUACCAAUUUCAAAAGUCCAACCACAAAUGCAAACAAAUAAAACAGUUAUAUCAUACUAACCCUCAAAUUUCAGUAUCAGAGCCUACAGCAUCGCGGUUAAUUAGGGCUGAAGAAGGCAUUGUUCAGUUGCUUUUCGUUUUUUUAUCGGCGAGAGACGCUCGAAACGCUAGGGUAGAAGGCCAGAAUCGUCAUUGUUGUCGACAAAAUCCAAAGUAUUCAUCCCAUUUUCGAAUCUGAAAGUAUACUCAUUUUCUUUUUCUAUGUCGUUUCAUCUUCCUCCUGCUGCGUGCUCUUCAUCUUCCUUUCCAGCUUAGUUUACUUCAGCAAAAUCGUUUCCUCUUUUCCCAUCCGACUCAGAUAUUCUUACUUUCUGCCCUACGCGUGACUCAUUAAUAUAAGAGCUGUUUUGCCCUACUGGGCAAAUGUCAUUUAUAACCCAUCAUAACUUUUUUAUCAAUUUACUGUCAUUUAUUCUUAUAAACUAAUAUUUAAACUUUUACCAUGCACAAAAUACUUAUAAUUUAUAACUUAUGUUAUAAUUGAAAUUUACAAUAAAUAAAUAAUUAAAAAAUUUAGCUUUAAAAAAUUGAAAGAAAAAUUAGUGGACGGCGAUAUAAAAACUAUAAGAGUUGUUUAAUUUUUUUACUAGACAUUGAAUCAAAUUAAAUUUAAAAUAAGACUUUAAUAUGCUAGGAUUUCAUCCAAUAUAUUUGUUUUAUUAUUUUUUAUUUUUAAUAUAUUCUAUUAGAAAUAUGUUUCACUAAGGUAAAUUCUAUUAAUAUAGAUAUUAUACAUAAUAACUAAAAAUCAAUUUAAAUUAUGCAAUAUUUUUUUAGAAUCUAUUUUUCUAAUGCAUAAUGAAAAAGUUAUUUUAUAAUCAAAUCUAAGAAUUGUGAUACUCAUUUUCAUCAAUCUUAAAAUCAAAUUUUAAUUUACUAUUUUUUUUGUUAAACUUAUUAUAUCAUUUCAUUUUUCAAAAUAAUAUUUUUUUUAUUUGAGAGUUUUUAUAAGACAUCCUUUAAUAAUAUAUUAUUUACACUUAAUUUUAAAUAUAUUUUAUUAACUUUUACUAUUACUAUUAGUUUUUGUGAUAUUUUUUUCUCUCAAAGUUUCUCUAAUAUAAAAUUUAAAUUUCAUGUAAAAAUAUUUUUUUUUAACGAAGAUGUUAAAUUUAUUAUUAUGAUAAUACUAAAAAAAUAGAGCAAGUAAUUACGAGGGUGCAAAUAUCAUUUACCAAGCAUAAUGGGGACUCGUUUAUAGAAAAGUUUAGAAAAUCGUCUUUUAAAAUUGAUAUAGGUUUAACGGUUGAAAAACCGUUAUUUUAUACUUAAUUUUGAUAUUUAAUGCACUCUUUUUUAUUUAGAGACUUGUUUGGACUCGUGAUUUUUCUUUAAUCGUGUGAAUAGGAUAGUUGAGGAUAUACUUUAUGAUUUUAUCACUAAGUUCUCUUGAUUUUGUAGGUUAUUGGAAUAAUUUGAAAGAAUGGUUGAAGUAUUAAUGAGUUGUAAUGCAUAAAAGUCAACCAAAAUGCAGAAAAGUCAAUCAAUCAACCAGAAAACUCAACCAGUCUACCAAAAUGUUGAAAAGUCAACCAUAGUGCAAUUUAGUACCGCAGGUGGCGCUGAGCGGCACCGUUGAGCGUCAGUUUUCACUGUUUUGCGCCUAAGCGUCACCGUUGAGCACCAAAUGAGUGUUGCACCUACCGCUGAGCAGUAGCCUAGCGUUGAGUGCAAGUUUCUUGGGCUUGGGCCAGUUUUUAUGUUAUUUUUAUGAUCUAUUUAAAGACCCAUACGACAUAGAGAGGUGAUCUUUUGGCAGAAAGGACGCAUAAACACCUUCUUCACCCCCUUGGAGGCAGAAUUUGGAUGCGGGAGCUCCAACUUAUCAAAUCUAGGGUUUAUCUUUUCAUUCUUUUCAUUAUUUCCAUCUAGUUUCACCGUGUCAAUGAUGAACUAAACCUCCAUUAUUGUUGGGGAAACAAUGUAAUUCUUUGAUAUUCUCAUAUAUUGAAUUGAUGCUUUAUUCAUAUGCUUGAUUUUAUUAAUUGUUAGAGUUUUUCCUCUAUUAUCUUUGUAUGUUUUGUUUAAGACAUUAUUCAAUAGCAUAAUCUUUGAUUAUAUCUAUAUGGACACAUGUGGGCAAAUCUAGACAUGGGGGAAAUUCUCUUGGGAGCAAUAUUGCCUAGACAUAGGGAUAGGAGGACCAAUUGCCUUAAGCUUCUGUGCGAAUUAAUGUAAUGCAUGAUCAAUUGCUAGGGAGACUAGACAUAGUAAACUAGUGAUUAGGAGUAGACUCUUUUCACCAAGGCAUUGGGAUUAGGGUAAAUUAGAAGUGGCAUUAACGUUAAUGAAAAAGUAGAAUUCAUAAAUAUAUAAGAGUGGAUUAGGAUAAAUCGGAAACCCCAACAACACCAUUCAUCCAUAUCGUUCAAUUAUCAAUUGAUCAAUCCUUGCAUGUGCAUAUUUAAUUUUCGUCUUUUGCAUUAUAAAACCCUAAUUUUCGUUUAUCAAGUGUUAUUAUAAUCAACAAAUCACAUAAAAGUCUAGGCCUAUGAGUCUCUAGGGAAACGAUACUUGGUCUUACCACUUUUUAUUACUUGAUACGAUUCGGUACACUUGUCGGUGUCUUAACAAGUUUUUGGCGUCGUUGCUGGAGUCUUAUUGAUUAACUUUGACUUGAUUUUUUAUGUUUAUUUUUGUUUAUUCUAAUAAAUGUUUUCUACGAUUUUGUGCCUAAUGUUUGCAUAACGCAGUUUGGACAAGAAUUUAACUAUACGGACACUCAGUUCUAUCAAGAUAAUCUCAACCACUGGUGGGAACCUCAAAAACACUCUCUAUCAAUAGCAAGAUUGGAAGAUGUCUUUCAACAAUCUAUGCAAAAUAUCGACUCCGCUCAAGAAAGAAUUGACACAACAUGCAAAAGGAUGGAGAUGCAGAUUAGUCACUUAAUUGAGAAACUGGACAAUUCUAGGGUUGAUACUGGAGUUAACCCUAGGGAGGAGUGUCAAGCCAAUAUCACUGGAAGUGACAAGAUUAUUGAAGAGGAAAAGAUAGAGAGAGAUGAGGAGAAAAUAGAGGAAGAAGAAAUAGAAAGGUUGAGUUAGGAAGAUAAAGAUGAGGAGAAAGAAAAAGAAGUGAUUGAGAGAAAAGAAGAAAAGAAAAUGUGUGUGAAAAUAAAGAAGAAAAUAGGAGAAAAGAAAAAGAGAAAAGUGAGGGAGAAGACAAAUAAGAAAAAGAGGAAGAGAGGAAAAACUAAAGGAUCAUACGAAAAACCCUUUCCUCAUCCAAAGAGGUGUCAUAGGAAGGAGAAGGAGUUUAAAUGCUUUAUGGAAAUCUUCAAGAAAUUGGAGAUUAAAGUUCCUAUGAUUGAGACAUGGAAACAGGUGUUUGGUUUUAUCAAAUUUAUGAAGAAAUUCAGCAGAAAUAAGAAACAGAGAAAAAUAUCAAGCAAGGAGAAUACCAACACUUACUGAUGGGUGUUUGAGCUUUAUUGGGUCAAAUUAAAAGAGCAGAGGCAACCUAGUUUCUGAUUUUUUUUUCUUUUUAAUUGAUUAUUUGUGUGGUUUAGAUUUAAUUUUUCUUUGUGUUUGAGUUUUUUAGGUUAUAUGCUACUUCUGAUGACAAUGAUGACAGCAUCUACUGAUGGAUGCUAAGAGGACUUAGAUAACGACAUUUACUGAUGGAUGUUGUUAUGAUGAGGAUGACGAAUGAAAGCAUUUAUUGAUGGAUGCUGCUACAACAUCUACCGGUGGAUGUUGCCAUGAUAAGAAAGAGGAAUAAUAGCAUUUACUGGAGGAUGUUAUGUGAUUAAGCAUCUACUAAAGGAUGUUGUGUGAUUAGGCAUUUACUGAUGGGUGUCAUUGACAACAUUUACAGAUGAAUGUUAAUGAAGAUAAGAAAGAUUAACAUCUACUAAUGGGUGCUAAUGAGAAAGAUGUGCAUCUAUUGAAGGAUGUUGAAGGAUUAAUGGGUCAGGCUCGUGACAUUAAACAAGUGCUACUUGGGAGGCAACCCAAUUUUCUAAACCUACCUUUGUGAUUUAUGCUUUAUUUGUUUCUGUUUUUAGAAUAGGUGUUGAUGUACUUGGUUUAAAACUUAUAUCUGAUGCAAUGGGUUGAUAUUAAUUUGAUGAGUGUGCUUGAUGAUGCUUUUAUAUUGAUUGAUGUUGAGACGAUAUAUGAGAUGCUAUAUACAUUUGGUGGUUCACAAUAUGUGUGAACAGAUGCAUGAUGAUAUGAUUGUGAUUGUGAUACUGGGCAAGAUGUGUAUCUAUGUAUUGGAACUUGGAAUUAGCAUAUUUGUGAGGUUUUGAACUCCAGAGUUUUUUAUUGAAUGAUUGUUUUUACUUUGAAAGCAUGCAUGACUUUGCCCAGGUUUCUAUGAUUAAAUCACUUGUUUGCUUGUGUCAUAUGAUAAAGGCCAUUUUUUAUCAGCCCUUUCUUAGCCAAUGCAUAAAUUUUCGUCCCAAUAAAGAAGAGCACAAUGUGUUCUACCCUUUUUGAACCUAAGCCUUAAACAAUAUGUAAAAACUCUUUUUGAAAAUCUUUACCUUGAGUUAAGUUAAGAAUUAUUGUAUGGUAUUGAUAAAGGUUCAAGUUUGGGGUUGUUGGAAAAGUUGAAAAAGAAAAGAUAAGCAUUGAGCUAAUGUGUUGAGCAAAGCAUGAAAAAGAUGAAAAAGAUAGAAAAUAUAGAAUGAAAGAAAGAUAAGCUCAAUGCAAACAAGGUAAAAGUUGGGAAUGAGUAAGAUUGGUUUUUUUAAAGAGAGUUUGUGCUUGAAUGAUAAAUUUUCAAAUAACUCUUUUAACUCAAGGAUUUUGUGAUCUAGAAAAACCAAUUUUUUCUUCUUAGCCCAAUCACGUUACAAGUCAUGGAAAGUCAUUGUGAUGAUAACUUAUUUGUGAGUAUGAUUGAUUGUGGUUAAAUGAAAGGCAAAGUUAAUUUGUAUGACAUUGUGAUAGUAGAGAGAAUGAGUCACCUCAAUAUACACCUGUGUGCUUGAGUGAAACACUUUCUUUGGUGAGGAGUAGUUUUAGUUAUACAUGAUUGCAUAUGUGCUUGGUUAAUUAGUCAUUCAUGAUAAUAGCAUUUGUUGAAAAGACUGUAAUUAUAUGAACACCAUAUUGAGUUUAAUUGAAGUAAUGCAUCUAUACAUCUUGACUGAUAUUUUUAUGAUGAACUGAGAGUAAUUACCUGUCUUGGAAAAAAGAAUUUUGAAGUGUGUUAAUCUAUUGUAUUGAUUGUUUGAAAACUGAGUUAGAUUUUGUUUUGCUUGACGACAAACAAAUUUCUAAGUUGGGGGCUGUGAUAACAGUUGAAAAACCGUUAUUUUUACACUUAAUGCACCCUUUUUGAUUUAGAGACUUGCUUGGACUCAUGAUUUUUCUUUAGUUUUGUGAAUAAGAGAGUUGAGGAUAUACUUUAUGAUUUUAUCACUAAUUUCCCUUGAUUUUAUAGGUUAUUGGAAUGAUUUGAAAGAAGGGUUGAAGUAUUAAGGAAUUACAAUGCAGAAAAGUCAACCAGAAUGCAUAAAAGUCAACAGUCAACCAGAAAAGUCAACUAGUCAAUCAUAAUGUUGAAAAGUCAACCAGAGUGCAGUUUAGUACCGCAGGCGAUGUUGAGCGGCACCGCUGAGCGCCAGAUGAGUGUCGCACCUACCAUUAAGCGGUAGCCCAGCACUGAGCGCUAGUUUCUUGGGCCUCAGCCAAAUUUUUGUUAUUUUUAUGAUCUAUUUAAAGAUCGAGACGACCUAGAGAGGUGAUCUUUUUGCAGAAAGGGUGCAAAAACACCUUCUUCACCCCUUGGAGGCAGAUUUUGGAUGCGGGAGCUCCAACUUAUCAAAGGUUUAUCUUUUCAUUAUUUUCAUCUAGUUUCACCAUGUCUAUGGUGAACUAAACCUCCAUUGUUGUUAGGGAAACGAUGUAAUCCUUUGAUACUCUUAUAUAUUGAAAUGAUGCUUUAUUCAUAUGCUUGAUUUCAUCAAUUGUUAGAGUUUUUCCUCUAUUAUCUUUGUAUGCUUUCUUUAAGACAUUAUUCAAUAGCAUAAUCUUUUAUUAUAUCUAUAUGGACACAUAUGAGUAGAUCUAGACAUGAGGGAAUUCUCUUGGGAGAAAUAUUGCCUAAACAUAGGGAUAGAAGGACCAAUUGUCUUAGGCUUCUAUGCGAAUUAAUGUAAUGCAUGAUCAAUUGCUAGGGAGACUAAACAUAGUAAACUAGUGAUUAGUUUUAGAAAAUAAAUCAUAUCCCGAGAUUAUUGAGAGAAUAUAUUGUUAUUAUUAUAGGUGAUUUAACACCCAAACACGUAUUUUGCUCUGAUGCUAGUAUAAAAUAAUUGUUAGGGUAUAAGGUGGGAGGAUAUUUAGUAUAAGUUAAUUAGAGUAAAUGAAUAUAGUAUAAGUUAAUUAGAGUAAAUAAAUAUAGUAUAAGUUAAUUAGAGUAAAUAAAUAUAUAUUCCAGGAAAAUAUUCAAUUUAAGUUAAUUAGAGUAAAUAAAUAUAGUAUAAGUUAAUUAGAGUAAAUAAAUAUAUAUUCCAGAAAAAUAUUCAAUGUAAGAUAUUCAGUAUAAGUUAAUUAGAGUAAAUAAAUAUAUAUUCUAGGAAAAUAUUCAAUAUAAGAUAUUUAUAAUUAAGAAUAUAUGCUAGGAUAUAUAAUAUAUGGAGAGAUAUUUAUAUAUAGGGAUAUUUAUAUUAAAUGCAAAUAUAUUCUAGGAAAAUAUUUAGUAAGAGAUGAACAGGAAAUAAUUAGUAUAAAUAAAGUUAGAGUCUAGGGUUAAGGGUAUGUUUUUGAUUUCUGAGUUUUGUAUGAGAGGUUAUGCUCUCAGGUAACUGAUAGAGAUCCUGCUCCCAUUUAUUAGAAAUAAUUGACAGAGGUUAAGCUCCCAAUAAGCUCCUAAUUAAUGUUUACUUUUGUUUAUUCAAAUAUUACCAUCAAUAAAAGAUAUUCAUUCGUUCAAUUUCAUUCUUUCAUUAUUCUUUUGCUUAUUUUGAGUGUGUAAGAGGUUGAUUUCGUUACGUCUCCUACUUGGUCAGGUAACAAUAAUGCAUACUGUUUACUACAAUAUUAAUUAUACUUUGUGAUUCUGUUUCACAUUUUAAUUUAAGACGUGGUGAAAGCAUACUUUACAUCCAAAAGGAAGCACACGUCCAGGAGGCAAAAACUUCAACCAUAUAUCUCUAGCCUCAAAAUCAGGGGCAAGACCAGCCUUGUCAUCAUCACCAAAAUAUGUGGCAUACAAGCGAUCUGAAGGUAACUUGUAAACCUGAAGCACAAAAAAGUUCAUGAUUUAAACUUAAAAAGAGCAAAAGUUAUGGAUUAUAUAAGUAAAGAAGUCAAAUGACCACCAACUUCCCAAUUUAGCAAUGUGGCACAACACCAUACAUACAAAUUAAGCAUUCCAAUUUAGAACGUACAAAUUAAGCAUUCCAAUUUAACAAUAUUACAACAAAGAGGAUCAUAAUUCAAGAUGCAAAAUAUGAACACUAGUACAAAAAUCAUAUUUUAUAACGUACAAAAGUCAUAGUUUUGUACAUUAUAAUAGUUCUACAUAUUUUAUGAUACAGGAUUUCUUAUCCGAUAAAACUUUUUUAGUUAGGGAUAAUAAGAGGAACAGUUCUUCCAUAUAUUUAGACAUUGAAAAGAAAACUUUAGAGAUUAACAACAAUCAUUCUUUUCUGAGUGAAUAAGAUUUUUUUUUUUAUAACUAUCUGAAUACUGUUAUUAAGAGUGAUUACGAUCAUUCCAUGUAUGAUAUUCCUUUUAGUUGGAACAAUUAUAUUAAUAGUUGCAUUGAUAGUUAUUUUCAUUCUUAAAUCUGUGUUGAUAGUUGUAUUUUUGUUGAUAUAGACAAAUACAAUGACAGUUCUUUUUAUAGCUACUUUUUUGGUAAGGGGAGAAAUGGUAAUGAAAGUGAGAAUUAUAGUUUUAGUUUAAUAACUAGUACGAAUGAUACAAAUGAUAGUGAUUCCACUCUAGGAGAAAAUUAUAAGAAUCUCUAUGAAAGUGAAAAAUUGACGCAUUUGUGGAUUGAAUGUGAAAAUUGUUAUGAAUUAAAUUAUAAAAAAUUUUGGAAAUCAAACUGAACAUAUUAUGACACAGUUUCUAAAAUCAGUUCAUUUUUUUAUAUGAAUAAUGGAAAAAAUUGUUUUGAAUUGAUAUUGAGUAAAAUUAUCUAUGUUUACAUUCAUUAGAGUUAUUUCUUUUAGAAACGAUAAAUUUUUGCUAAGUUAUAAAAUAUGUAAACCUAUUUACAAAAUUAUGUACGUUUUUGUACGUCAUAAAAUAUGAUUUUUGUACUAGUGGAACUCCAACCAAUAAAGCAUACUUCGAUUAGAAGCUCCCACGCCCAGCUGAUGGCUUCUACUUUGAUGUAAUCCCCAAAGCACCAAUUUUCAAACAUCUCAAAGAAGGUGUGUAGGUGUCCUUCCCUACGUCAUCAAGAUCAUUGUGUUUACCACCAGCUCGAAUGCACUUUUGUGUGUUCCAAACACGAGAGAGUUUACUCAAGGCAGUGUUGGGAUCC